rnacentral:rRNA from 1 species
AGAGUUUGAUCCUGGCUCAGAGCGAACGCUGGCGGCAGGCUUAACACAUGCAAGUCGAGCGCCCGUAGCAAUACGGGAGCGGCAGACGGGAGAGUAACACGUGGGAACGUACCCUUUGGUUCGGAACAACACAGGGAAACUUGUGCUAAUACCGGAUAAGCCCUUACGGGGAAAGAUUUAUCGCCGAAGGAUCGGCCCGCGUCUGAUUAGCUUGUUGGCGGGGUAACGGCCCACCAAGGCGUCGACGGGUAGCUGGUCUGAGAGGAUGAUCAGCCACACUGGGACUGAGACACGGCCCAGACUCCUACGGGAGGCAGCAGUGGGGAAUCUUGCGCAAUGGGCGAAAGCCUGACGCAGCAACGCCGCGUGGGGGAUGAAUGCCUUCGGGUUGUAAACCCCUUUCAGCAGGAACGAAAAUGACGGUACCUGCAGAAGAAGGCCCGGCCAACUACGUGCCAGCAGCCGCGGUAAUAUA